CCCACAUCUUAAAUCUUACAAAUGCCAGAAAGGAAGGAUUUCAACGCUGAUCCCUAAGACGUUUCAUCACGGAGAAGACUUGGUACAGCAUGUGAAGGGGAAAUGAUGGCUUCCCCUUAAUGUACUGUGCUUUAACAUUAAUCUAUGGACCAACUCUGUGAUUAUAAAGAUAAUUCAGUCUCCCAGCAUGUGGAUACUCAGCCUGGGAAUUCUGAACAGACCUGGAGGAGGAAGGAGGAGAGUUGUAAUAUCCUUUACGUUUAGGCUAUGAAGAAGGGCAAGCUGGACUAGCUGCAAGUGAGGCACGAGCCACAUCUCCCACACUAGCCUCCCAAUUCCACAAAACCUGCAGAUGCCAGCAACCCCAGGGAGCCCUGCAGCAGGAACACGUUGCCAGCCUAUGGGCCCUGUAGCGGUCUGUGGAGCAGCAGGACCGCAGAUUGGAUACAGACCUAGAACUGUGCCACACCAUCUGACAGGAGCUGCUUCAGCAGGUCCAAAGUGUGUGUGUAGCUUUCAGCACCACCGUUGACUGCCUGGCAGCCGCCACAGAGCAGUCCACAAGCUGCCCCCCGACUCCUGCUGCUGCUCCUGCCCCAGCUCCCAC